GUCUACGGCCAUACCACCCUGAACAUGGCCGAUCCCAUCUGAUCUCCAAAGCUAAGCAACGUUGGGUCUGGUUAGUACUUGGACAGGAGACUGGGUGCCAUAGCCU
rnacentral:rRNA from 1 species